UACCCAGUUCGGACUGCAGGCUGCAACCCGCCUGCACGAAGCCGGAGUUGCUAGUAAUCGCGAAUCAGAAUGUCGCGGUGAAUGCGUUCCCGGGUCUUGUACACACCGCCCGUCACACCAUGGAAGUUGGGGGUGCCCAAAGCCGGCAAGCAAAUAUGCUGUCUAAGGCAAAACCAAUGACUGGGGUGAAGUCGUAACAAGGUACC
rnacentral:rRNA from 1 species